rnacentral:snoRNA from 1 species
AACUCAUGAUGAGGGCACCUUCUCAAUAAGUCAUUGUAUCUUUCCCAUGCAUCAUAUAACGUCUCUAAAUCAAUAUGCAUGAAAGAAGAGUUGUCAUUCUUCAACUU